rnacentral:lncRNA from 1 species
GCAGGUUUAGGUGUCGCCAGAGAGGCUGGGAGGAAACUAUAAACCUGGGCGAUGUCCUCUUUAUCAGCCAGCCCUUCUCCUGGGUCAACAGGGCAGAGCGCAAAGUUCACGCAGAUAGUAGCCUGAGAGGCAGGAAGCAUGGCGGUGGUAUGGGAGAGGAGGAAGUGGCGCUCUGAUGGCAAAAGAAGGGCCCCCACUCAAGGCCACUUAGCCCCAGACUCAGAGAGUGGACUCGGGGCCCAGCAGAGCCAGCUCCCCACCAGCCCGGCCAUUUUCAGGUGGUGCAGCGGGGACAGUCAGCCUCCCUGGGCUUCGGUUUCUCCACCUGUAAAAUGGCAGAAAUAAUCAGGCCUGCAGUCCUCGCCCUGUGUGAGGUGAAGAGAGCUGUGUAUAUAACGUACUUAGAAGGCCUAGUAUGGAUCAGAGCGCAUCUGUUGGUUGUGAGAAAACAUGAAAUCAUGCUAUUCGAGGAGGCCCGUGUCCGGCCUGGUCCAUACCUGGCACUGGUGAGCUCAGUCUCCUGUCCACCAGCCCCCAGCCUGGCAGAGAAGACCUUCCUGAUGGCAGAACGGGCCCUCUCUGGAAGUGGACCAAUCCUGAACAUUGCCGUUUCAAUCAAUGAGACUUUCAUGGAAAACGCCUAGUAUGCCCCCGGCCCUGGCGGCUGGGUGCCAGAGACACACAUACAAUGGGGAAACUGAGGUGCAGAGACCUUUGGGAACUUGCCUAAGAUUAUUAUUUGGCCAGUAAGCAGCAGAGCCUGAAUACGAACCGACUCAGUGUGGCUCCACUACCCAGAUUCUUCACGAUGUCACCUCAUUGCCCCAAGUCCUAAAAAGAUGGACAUGGAAACAGAUCAUUUCAGCACAAGGUGGAGAAUGCCAUGUGGGGAGGGCCUCACAGAGGUGGUAACUCAUUUCACGCGUAUAUUCAAUAAAUCUUUAGACUGGGGUGUAAUGAAGAGCAAAAAUAGACAUCCUACCUGUUUUGGGAAACUUCUAUUGGAGACACAGACAUUACUUAAAUGUUCACCCCCACCCCCACCCCCCCAAAAUGUUAGCUCCAAUCAACAGGUGCCUUUUGCUAUGAAAACUAUAAACACAGAGGUUUGUCAUAAGCAUGGAAAUGAGAGAAGGCUGCUUCCUGGAGGAAAUGAUGGUUGGGCUGAGGCAGAAAAGAUGAGUGAGAGUUAAUCAAAUCAAGAAAAGAAAGAAGAGCAUUCCAGGCAGAGGGAACAGCAUGUGCAAAGGCUCUGAGGCAGGGGGGCAUGGUGAGUAUGAGGGCUGCAAGUCCUGUCCCUGAACUCUGGCCAGCUGACCUUGGCCAGCCCUCCCAGGCAUGUAGCCCACCUGUCAGGACCCCACCACUCCAGUUUGGAGCCCUCCAGCCCACCCUUCCUGGAUCAUGCUGGAGGCUGGUAUCACCGGCUAGUAUGGGUGCCAGCCUCCCUCAGGUCCAGGUAACAGGCUGGCCUCGGGGUCUUCUAAAAAAGCCCCCAAACUGGAAGCUGGUCUAGGGACCCACAGGGACAGUCCUGUGGGAUGGGGAGUGGGACAAGUCCCCAGUGAGUCUUGGGAGAGUGAGCGAAUGAGCGCACCAUAUAAAUGACCUUUGUAAAAAGAAGCCUCAGGGCAGCUGGGGACACAAAUGGGCAAUGACCGCUCCUCCCCCAACCACGAGAACCUCCACUGGAGUCUUGGAGCACCCAACACACACCAAUUAACUCCCACUCCUUGACCGGGUGGGAAGGCCGUGAGUAAGCCCAUUUUACAGGGCAGGGAAAGGGAAAGGCAAGGCUGGAGAGGAACGCUGCUGUUUGGGGCGGCUUCUCAGCCGACCCUUUUGAGGAUGAGACUCUGAGGAGCCAUGUGGAGGUUUUCGCAGGAUCCACAGAGCCUCUGGGAUGAGCCAGCAAGACCCUAGCCUCCCAAUGGGUCUGGAGAGGGGGACAGGCAGACUUGAGGAAAGAGAGGAACCGCCUCUUCCCAGGUUCCCGUGCCUCUCUCUGCCCUAUUUACAGAAAACAAAGUGCCUUUGGCUGACUCUGGACCGGUUCCUCCAAAGCAAUUAGAGCAACACUGUCAAUGCUCCCGGGAGGGCACCCUCCUCCCUCCUCCUGCCACCCUCCCGGAGGCUGAAGGCCCAACUAGGGGCCCAUGCUGGCAUCUGCUGGGAUCGGCAUGCCUGGGGGCCCCCACCCCCACCCUGGGCAGCACUGAAAGGUGC